UCGGGAAUUUUGGGCAAUGGGCGAAAGCCUGACCCAGCAACGCCGCGUGAGGGAUGAAGUAUUUCGGUAUGUAAACCUCGAAAGAAUGGGAAGAAUAAAUGACGGUACCAUUUAUAAGCUCCGGCUAACUACGUGCCAGCAGCCGCGGUAAUACGUAGGGAGCAAGCGUUGAUCGGAUUUACUGGGCGUAAAGGGCGCGUAGGCGGCGCGGUAAGUCACUUGUGAAAUCUCUGAGCUUAACUCAGAACGGCCAAGUGAUACUGCUAUGCUAGAGUGCGGAAGAGGCAACCGGAAUUCUUGGUGUAGCGGUGAAAUGCGUAGAUAUCAAGAGGAACACCUGAGGCGAAGGCGGGUUGCUGGGCCGACACUGACGCUGAUGCGCGAAAGCCAGGGGAGCAAAC
rnacentral:rRNA from 1 species